rnacentral:rRNA from 1 species
UACGGAGGAUCCGAGCGUUAUCCGGAUUUAUUGGGUUUAAAGGGUACGCAGGCGGGAGAUUAAGUCGGCGGUGAAAUUUUGCAGCUCAACUGUAAAAGUGCCUUCGAAACUGGUUUCCUUGAGCGUAGAUGAAGUAGGCGGAAUUUGUGGUGUAGCGGUGAAAUGCAUAGAUAUCACGAGGAACUCCGAUUGCGCAGGCAGCUUACUAAACUACUACUGACGCCCAGGCACGAAGGCGUGGGGAUCAAACAGGAUUAGAUACCCCCGUAGUCCCUGAG